AUCCAGCUGACGAGUUCCAAGUAGGACGAAACGUGCGUCCUGGAU
rnacentral:hammerhead_ribozyme from 1 species